rnacentral:rRNA from 1 species
ACGUAGGUGGCAAGCGUUGUCCGGAAUUAUUGGGCGUAAAGCGCGCGCAGGCGGUCCUUUAAGUCUGAUGUGAAAGCCCACGGCUCAACCGUGGAGGGUCAUUGGAAACUGGAGGACUUGAGUGCAGAAGAGGAAAGUGGAAUUCCAUGUGUAGCGGUGAAAUGCGUAGAGAUGUGGAGGAACACCAGUGGCGAAGGCGACUUUCUGGUCUGUAACUGACGCUGAGGCGCGAAAGCGUGGGGAGCAAACAGGAUUAGAUACCCUGGUAGUCCACGCCGUAAACGAUGAGUGCUAAGUGUUAGGGGGUUUCCGCCCCUUAGUGCUGCAGCUAACGCAUUAAGCACUCCGCCUGGGGAGUACGGCCGCAAGGCUG